rnacentral:rRNA from 1 species
UGGGGAAUAUUGCACAAUGGGCGCAAGCCUGAUGCAGCCAUGCCGCGUGUGUGAAGAAGGCCUUCGGGUUGUAAAGCACUUUCAGCGGGGAGGAAGGCGGUGAGGUUAAUAACCUCAUCGAUUGACGUUACCCGCAGAAGAAGCACCGGCUAACUCCGUGCCAGCAGCCGCGGUAAUACGGAGGGUGCAAGCGUUAAUCGGAAUUACUGGGCGUAAAGCGCACGCAGGCGGUCUGUCAAGUCGGAUGUGAAAUCCCCGGGCUCAACCUGGGAACUGCAUUCGAAACUGGCAGGCUAGAGUGUGGUAGAGGGGGGUAGAAUUCCAGGUGUAGGGGUGAGAUGCGUAGAGAUCUGGAGGGAUACCGGUGGCGAAGGCGGCCCCCUGGACGAAGACUGACGCUCAGGUGCGAAAGCGUGGGGAGCAAACAGG